rnacentral:rRNA from 2 species
AAGUCGAGCGAACUGAUUAGAAGCUUGCUUCUAUGACGUUAGCGGCGGACGGGUGAGUAACACGUGGGCAACCUGCCUGUAAGACUGGGAUAACUUCGGGAAACCGAAGCUAAUACCGGAUAGGAUCUUCUCCUUCAUGGGAGAUGAUUGAAAGAUGGUUUCGGCUAUCACUUACAGAUGGGCCCGCGGUGCAUUAGCUAGUUGGUGAGGUAACGGCUCACCAAGGCAACGAUGCAUAGCCGACCUGAGAGGGUGAUCGGCCACACUGGGACUGAGACACGGCCCAGACUCCUACGGGAGGCAGCAGUAGGGAAUCUUCCGCAAUGGACGAAAGUCUGACGGAGCAACGCCGCGUGAGUGAUGAAGGCUUUCGGGUCGUAAAACUCUGUUGUUA